AUUACCGAUUGGGUGUAUAGGUGAGCCCUCUCGAUAGACGCAAGUCUAGAAAUUGAGCAAACCUUUGCACCUAGAGGAAAUAAAAGUCGUAACAAGGUU
rnacentral:rRNA from 1 species